rnacentral:lncRNA from 1 species
GAAGAGAAAGUCCGGGCUCUGUACAUUACCUGUGGGUUUGGAGUUAAGCUGGUACAUCGAGGAGCCUGAGGACAGCUCCCCAGAGAUGCUCCCUUUCUGAGGCCUCAUCAUGUCCCACUGGCCGCUGCCCAGAUAUGACAGUUCUCGGGCCUGAUCCUGAAUCAAAGAAUCGUAUUUUCUAGUGCAGGAAAGAGAAAAGCAGGGAGGAAUGAAAAACUGUGAGUGGAGAGAGCUGUCGUCUGAAGUUCCUUGUGCCUGGAACUCCUCUCGCUUCCCUGGCUUGUUCUCCAAGGGCUUCUUCACAGGCUGUCAGUAGCUGACUUGGCUCUCCGUGUGAUGGUUUCUUUCUUCCUUUGCACCAUAACAGAUUCUUCAAAAUCCUGGAACAGAAGAAGCAUGCUCUUGGAGGGACAUUAAAAGAUGGCACUACAGCAACUAGUUCUCGAAUCGGCCUGCGUUUGCUACUUCUCUUCAGCAAGGAGAACGAGAACAGAUUUUUAAGACUUAACAAAGCCCCAACGCACUGCUGCAGAAGAGUGCAAGGAAGCAGACACUUACAUGUGGACCUCUGAGGCCUCCUUCUGAGUGACCUGAACACGACAGUAUCUCUCAUCAACUUCUUACUCCACUAUGAAGAAACACUUCCACCAAGAAGUAGAGGAUGCCACCUGGUUCACCUCCAAAUGAGCAUCCAGGAAU